CUGUCCAUUCUCAUCGGUGUAGACUACGGAAGUUGCGUUGCCUGGGAUUAGUGAAGCUGUGGAGGUGCGUUGACAGCGGUGCACAGAGGAGGUGGUGGUGGUGGUGGUGCACAGACGGAUGAAGGCACGGAUAAAGCAGAGAGGAAAAGAGACAGACACAGAGAGCAGGGAGGCAUAGAUAGACAGACAGACAGUGCACAGAGCGAGAGAUAAACCAGAGAAGCACAGACGUAUAGGAUAAAAGAUGAACACAAUAGCGGACACGGAAAGCAGAGAAACACAGACACAUAGAGAGGGCAGGACACACACACAGAUAGAGAGACACACACACAUUAAGACAGAGAAAGAAACAGAUGAAUUGACAGACACAAGUACAGAGAGAGCACAGACAGACAGACAGACCAAGGGACGCACAGAGAGAGAGAAAGUGACAGAACGAAGGAAGGAAGGAAAAUAAAAGGGAAGCAAAAUUAACCAAAAAAACAGAAAUGAGAAGAGAAACAGAAUUAUAAAGAGUGACAAAGGAAGAAAGAAGGGCAACACAAGCGAAGGAGAAAGGAAGAAGGGAAGGAAGUGAAUGAACGAAGGAAGGAAGGAAAACAAAGGAAGCAAAAUUAAUAAAAAAACAGAGAAAUGAGAAGAGAAAGAGAAUUAUGAAGAGCAACAAAGGAAGAAAGAAGACAAGCAACAUGAGUGAAGAAAGGAAGAAGGGAAGGAAGUGAAGGAGGAAGAGGAAGAAAAGGAAGAAAAGUCAACAUACAGUAGCAAAGACAUUGGGAGGAGGAGGAGGAAGAGGAAGAAAAGAAGAAAAGGAAAACAGAAGAAGAAGAACCAACAUGCAUUAGUAAAAGGGAUGAGAAGAAAAAGGAAGAAGAUGAAGAAAGAGAAAAAGAAGAAAGCAGGAAUAGGGAAAUUAGAAGGAAGAAAAGGAAAGGAAGAAAAGAAUAAGGAAUAAGGAGGAGGAGGAGGGCCGGUGCAGUGCGACAGACAGACAGACAGGCAGCGUGCGGAGUCCAGCAAGGCGGUGGUGGUGGUGGUGGUGGUGGUGGUGAUGGCGGAGGUGCAUGUGAGGGAAGAGAAGAGAAAAAAAAAAUGGGAAAAAAAUAAAGAAUCACAUCAAAACACAAGCUCAUAAAAAAACAUAAAAAAACAGGAGGUGCGGACAGUGCGUUCAAGGAGGAAAACAAACGGAAAAAAAACAUACAUUAAGGGUUAGUUGAAGCGUAAAAAAACGUAAAUUAAAACCAGGAAACACAAAAUCGUAAAACAAGAAAUCAGCUCUUUUUUUUUUUCUUGUUGGUUGGUACUUACGUGCAAAGGCGCUGGGUCAUGCAAAUCCAAGGCUUAGACAUGGUAAAAAGUCACCCUCAAGCGCUGACCAAGAGGCUGGGAUUCCCUUUAAAAGCUUAUUUGGGGUGAGGCACAUGCAUUCCAACUCCGAGGCGCAAGUCAAAUGAGCUUCCAUGCACUCAGUACCGAAGUCUCUCAUCCCCUGUCUUGUGGGGACCCAUGCGAGGAAAUCUUGUUAUGGCCUAAUGCUCAGAUUCUCUCCUUUUAUUCCCUCAGGUUGGGCGGAAUGUUUAGACUGACUUGGAGUAUUUAAAACCUUCUAUUACUAACAUAUGACUAAGCUAUUUGGUGAAGGGGAUAAGUGGAUGGUUCAGGGAAAAAAAAGCAGUGAUUUAAGCAUUUGAAUUAUACCUUUUUCUCUCUUCAUUAUGUGGAUUUGAUACUGAUAUAGACUGACAUGGAUGAAGUCUCUUUUUUGGGGUUAUAUUGUAAACCUCUGAUAAAUAUGGUAAGGUAAAAAGUCUAGUAUUAAAAUUAGUUCUCUGGAAACCUAUGUGGAGAAAUUUUGAAGCAUGGAAACUUUGAAUAACACUCAAUGAAAACAAAGAAAAAAAAAUGUGUUCUGGUUAACUACCCAUCACUCUGAAGGCACUUACAGACAGCACUAAGCCCUGGAGUGACUAGGAGUAACAGAAAUAGUGACAAUACUAAACAAGAUGGUAAUUAUUAUAAAGUAGUAGUAAUAGUAGUAGUUUGCAUCACUUCAAUAAAUUCCUGAACAACAGACAUGGAGAAAACACAGCUAGACACAUUGAUAGCGAGCUGGCGUGGCGGUAAUCAGUUCCUGGGAUCCAUGGAAGGCUUAAUUGCCGCGUUACCUUGAGAGAGCGUGUGGGGGUCGCUACGUUAGUCUCCCGCAGGUGGGCAGAGGUCAGCAAGUCUCGGGUCAGCUGCCGCCCCAGUCCAGACUCAUGACAUGCUCUCUUUCUCUCUCUCUCUCUCUGUCAGCCAGUUGCGAGCUCCUUCCUCAGAGGUUAGACAAAGUGGCGUGCGUGUGGCGUCUCCCGUAACUCACCAGACCCCUAAACCUUCUGGAACCUAUUGCCAAUAUACUCACUCACUCAGAUCUCAACGCUGAAUGUAUUUCCUGACCUAACGCUGGUGUACUCACUCUGCAGACCCCUAAACCUUUUGGGACCUAUUGCUGAUAUACUCACUCACUCAGAUUUCAACGCUGCCUGUUUUUCCUGACCUAACGCUGGUGUGCUCACUAUGUAGACCCCUAACCCACUCCUCAAGUCGCAUGUCCUCUGAAACCUACUGUCGAAACACUCACUCACUCACCAGCUUACUAACUCGUGCCUCAAUGCUGCCUCCUAUGGCCUGAAACUCAUGUCUCUCCUGUGAUCUAAUGCUGCUUCAAGACCCUAGUGAUGGGCGUCUAAACUAGAGUAUGCACGCUGCCUGAAGGCCUUAUUUCUGGGGUGCUAACUAAAACUGGGGUGUGCGCGUGGCAAUGAGGUUGUGAUAUGAAUUUUAGAGGUGCAGUGUGUCUAGUUAGUUUACUUCAGACACUCAAGAUGGCUAUGGGAAAGUGACCAAGGAGUUUACAGUUUAAAUCACUGAGCUUGUAAUCGUAAGUCUUUUAACCCGGCAGCAGCGAGGAUCAUGUUUCUUAAUGGUCCCUCUAAGCGAGAAAAAUGAGAAAAAAUCAUCUCUUACACAAACCAUUUCAUAAUAUAUAUCGAAGCAUUUGUGAUCAGUUUAUGCAUCAUCUAUUUUGGGGGGGUUAUAUCAUGGCACAAAUUUGGCCCGUCGCUGCUACCGGGUUAAAACCAUAGAUGACAGACUGGAAAAAUGAAUACCCCAUCUUUAUGUAUCUUAUACUUUGAUUGAUAUUCAGGGUAAGGAAAAUGUGACCAGCCCUGGAAAUUCCUGUCAAAAGAUAAGAGUUUGAGAAUUCCUUCCCUAAGGCACUUUUUAAGGUCACCCGAUUUCUGAACCUUCUUUGGGCCUGGGUGACUCCUGCAACCUACCCUGACCUACUCUACCCUUCCUUAACCUUUUUCCUAUCUUGCUAACUGCCAUCCUAUCAAGGCACUCUAUCUCUCCUCCUCCUCCUCCUCCUCUGUAACCCUACCAAGGCACUUCUUUCCCUCCUCCUCCUAUCCUGUUACGUGCACCUGGUCCUGGCACUGGAGGCAACACAGACAGACAGACAAACAGAUGUAAUAUCCUAUCACACUCAUCCUGUCUUUUCUUUUAAGUGUAUAUCCUUACUUUGGUUUGUUCAGCUCUAUAUAAUUAUUAUUUUUUUUUUUCCAUCUUUCCUUCAUUUAUUCCUUCCUUCCCGUGUCCCAUUUUUGGAGGCACACGAAGGGGAAGAAAUAAUAUAAAGUGUGCGUGUGUGUGUGUGUGUGUGUGAGUGUGUGUGUGUGUGUGUUAUGGGGUGGGUCGUUUUCAUUCAUUUUUUCAGGUUGAUGGGUCAGUCAGUGAGAUGGAUGAUCGGUGCCUUGGAAAACAGCACCUCAUCAUCAUCAUCAUCAUCAUCAUUAUCAUUGUUAUUAUUAUUGCCAUGUAUGUCUUUCUUUCUCUCUCAUCUACACACACAAAAAUCCUUCAAAAACAAAACUCAUCAUCCUCAUCAUUAUCAUAGUCAUCAUCCUCAUCAUCAUCAUCAUCAUCAACAGAAAAAUGAAGCACCACCAGAAAAAAAUAAAAUGAAUAGCGUUCUUGCAUGUUAUCAAAAAAUGCACUCCCCUAAGUUUUUUGUUAUGUCUUUUUGUUUUGUUUUUGUGUGUGUUUCAUUUUCUUUCAAGUCUGGCACCACACACAAAUAUAAAGUUCUUUUUAAGUCGUAAUGUUGCAUCUUCAGCCACGUCAAUAAUAACAUCAAUACCGGGAAUGAUACUGAUACUAAUACUAAUAAAUAAAGACCAAUCAAUUCCCUGUCUUAACUCGGAACACCAAAAUUUCCGUCCACAGAAAAAGAAACAAUGUCGAUAUAUGUUUCUUCUCUCUGUGCCCAGCGGUAAGAGAGGAAAACUCACAUGAUAAAAAGAUAAUCAGUUGGUUAGGUUGACUCUACCACCAAUGAAGACUAAACAAAGAUAUAAAAGAAGAGAAAAAGACGAAACUGAGAAUGCAGAGGAUAAGAAGAACUGCCAACCAUUAAAUUCAGCCACGGAUAGAACAGCGACCAAUAUCCUUGCCAUGAAAACCGUUAACAGAUCAAUACCGAACCCACGAAAUUGAAAAACAAUACCUCAAUAAAUCAAAUCACAAUCUCUCCCCCCUCUCUCUCUCUCCCUCCUUCCCUUCCUCUCUUGCCCCUUCCUUCCCUUCUCUCCCCCUCUUUCUCUCUAUCCUGGAACGAACUCAAAUCUGGGGGCAGUCGACACACACUUGUUUCAAUUGGUAAAGCUAAUUUUAUGGACCAUCGGGGCAGAAAAUAACAGAUGAACGAUCACCAAGAAAGUCCCGAGAAUAUUAGAACAUGGCUCAAUUUUCUGGGUGAGGUGCGGCCAGAAUGAAGACUCGGGGCCCAGCGGAGGAUUGGGGGAGGCAGGGGAAUGUGCGUGGACGUGGAGACUCGGGUUAGGGCCAAGACUGAGGAUUACAUUCUCAAAACAGAUCGGCGCCCAAACUCACACAUCUGACAAGGCUUUCAUAGGAGUUUCGGGCAUUUCUAGGGGUGGUUUUAUGGCCAUGGUGGUAGUUUGAACCUUAAUCUGCCGUGGUCCUGGUGAUACAGUUAAGUUCGGGCCAAGACUGAGUGAGGGUCAUAUUCUUAAAAACAUUUCAGCGGACAAGCUCACACAUUUGACAAGGCUUUCGUAGGAGUUUCGGGCAUUUCCAGGGGUGGUUUUAUGACCCUAGUGGUAGUUUGAAACUUAAUCUGCCAUGGUCCUGAUGAUUCAGUUAAGUUCGGACCAAGACUGAGUGAGGGUCAUAUUCUUAAAAACAUUUCAGCGGACAAGCUCACACAUUUGACAAGGCUUUCAUAGGAGUUUCAGGCAUUUCCAGGGGUAGCUUUAUGACCCUGGUGGUGGUUUGACCCUUCUUCUGUAUCAUGAACCUAAACAAACACUCACUAGAAAACGACAAAUCCUUCUAAAAUGUGGAAGACGAAGGUAUCCAGAAACUAGACACAAGAAAUACAUGACUAGAAAAAGACGGAACCUUCCCGAGUUAAAAAAAAAUAUGUAUCCUUCUUCUUGAAUGUGGAAGAAAAAGUGUCCCAAAACUAGACAAAAAAAUGAGGACCAGGCAAUGUAUUAGAACUUAUUAGAGGAUUAGAACUUAUUAUCAGAACUUAUUGAACAGUAUGUUAUUGGACUGACAUAAUAUUACUACACAUAUUUCCAACUUUUAUUUUUUUAAGUUAAGUUAGUGUCCCAAAAAAAAUCCUGGCGUCUGAAAAUUCACUGACUAAAAACACUAAUAAAAAAGGGAAAAAAAAAAUGAAAAAUUAAAAAAAAAAAAAAAUCAAUUAUUCACUAUGCAUUUUUUUUUUUUUCCGAGGUGUUCCAAGUUAAGCGGAAAAAAAUCUAUCAUCGUUUACUCUUCCCAUUAUUAUUUUCUUAUGGCUGAGGCUGCACCACAUAUGAGUACCUUCCGUGUGUGUGUGUGUGUGUGCGUAUAUGUGUGUGUGUGGGGGUGGAUGGGUGUAUGUAUGUGCGUGUGUAUAUAUGUGUAUUUCAUUGCUUCACUCCUUCAUCCCGAGCAAAAUAAGUCACAUCAUAAAAUAUUUCCCAUCCUUUUCCUUUUCUUUUUUUUUUAUAUAUAUUUCCUUCGGUCCCGGUGGCAUGAUCCGUCCUAACCAGUGUCUCGAUUCAUCUAUACUCUUCUACUUUUCCUUUUGUUUCUUUCCUCUAUGGGUUCCAAGUCUAAUCACCUAUUCACCUAUCCUUUUUUUUUUUUCUAUUAUACCUCUGAGCGAGUACUGCUUUGGGCAACUUUCCAUUUCUUAUUAGGGUCUGUCCGCCCGGCUGUCCGUUCGUCAGUCCGUUUUUGCUCUCCUUUCGUUUGUACUUCCGUUCCGGUGACGCGCGAGAGAAAUGGUUGGUUACGGCGCUUAUGGUGUGGGAAAAAAUCAUUCUCGUUGUUGUUCUUUGUUUUUUCUUUAUUGUUUUUUGUCUACUUUUGCAGCCAUGAGGAAAAAUUUAAAUAUUGAAAAAAGAGAAAAAUGAAAAUAUGGAAUCUGUCUGGUGUACUUUCUUAUUUUUCUUUCUUCUUGUUUCAUAGUUUUUUUUAUUUUUUUCUUCGUCUUCUCUUUAUCUGUCUUCUCUUCUCUUCUUUUGAUUCAUCGUACGUUUACUUUCACCCACAAAAGAUGAAGAAAAAAUGAAGAGAAUUAGAAAAUGCUAUCAAAUACUUCCUUUUUCCAACACAUAAUGACAGGUUGAGAAUUACCAAAAAAUAGCUUGUAAGGAAAAUAUACCUGCGUUAAACUGAAGAGAAUCAGGAAAUGCAAUCAAAUAGUACUUCCCUUUUCCAACACAAUGACAGGUUGAGAAUUACCGAAAAAAUAAAGAAAGAAAUACCUGCGUUACGAUAUUACGAGAAGCAGAUUAGCGGCAAAAAAAAAAAAAUAAUAAUAAUAAUAGAUGGAUAAGUAAACAAAGACCGAGGAUGUUUUUGCCACAGGGGUGAGCGUCGCUUUCUCUCGGGCGUCAACGGAAUGGAUUACAGCACUCACAUCGAGGAGAAAAAAAAAAACAAGAACAAAAACUAAUGGAACGCCGAGCUAAUUAAAAAAGAAAAGGCAAAUUACCGAAAAAAGAAGGUAAAUAGUCUUCCAUAUUUAACUGUGAUGGCGUCAAAAUCUUGCAUCUUAGCUCGACUUCCCUGUUAUUUUUGCUAUCGUUCGUUUUCUUCGCCGCGAUAUGAGAGCGCAUCGAAGGGGCGAGAACAGACGAGGGCGCACAGACAGACCCUAAUGACAGCAACAAGAGGGAGGACGUCAAGAGAACCGUGGAUAGUGUUAACAUGGGCAAGAGUUUAGCUUAUUUUCACCUUUCUCAAGUUUCCGAGUAUCUCCAAAGAAUGAGGGAUUGAGGCUUCGUAAGUACUGGAUGCAAGAGUGUGAGGGGAAAAAAAAAAAAUUAGGUCAAGCAUGAUUAAUGGAGAGAAAUUAAACAUAAGUCGGCCAAACAUAUCUACAGGAAAAAGGAAAAAAAAUAAUAAGUCAGACAGAACAAAUAAAAAAAAAACAGCAAGAAGAAGAGGAGGAAGUACAAGAAGAAGUCCUUUUUUGGGGAACGUCUUAACUUUGGGUUUGAAUUUUUUUACAGCGAGAAUUUUUUUGGCCAGGGGAAGAUUUUUUUUAAGGUCUACCAGGAAAAAGCCUUCACUAGAGUCAACAACCACUCACAAAACCACAAAGCCAGACCAAGAUUCUCAGCGUCAACUCAGACUCAAGCGGUGGAGGGGAAUGAUACAUCUCUCAUGGGGGCGGAAAGGAGUGAAGUGGAUGAUUUCAAUUGUUUAGUUAAGGUUACGUGAGUGGUGAGGAGGCGGAGGAGGAGGAAGGUGGCGGUGGUGAUGGUGGUGGUGAUGGUGGUGGUGAUGGUGGUAUAGGCUGGCAAACGCGGUGAAAGAAGGGAUUGAUUAGGCUCGCACACGACACAAUUAUUGCCACUAGCGCUGAAACCUUCUACUGUACACUCGGUCCCUGUGUGCGUUGGUUAGAAAAGGACAGUGUGAAAGCCAUCAUCAAGAGCCCAUUCACUCCUCAUGUCCACCCAGAAGCUUGCAAAUUUAUCCUUCCAGACUCUUGCUAAUGUUCUUAUCUCUCUCUACAUGUGUUUGCUGGUUCAAGAGGAAGGUGUGAAAGCCAUGAUCAAGAGCCCAUUCACUCCUCAAGUCCACCCGAGAAGCUUGCAAGUGAAUCUGUGUUUGUGUCUCUUUCCGUGUGUUUGCUGUUUAAAGAAAGGAGACGAGUGUGAGAGCCUUGACUGACGCCCCACUCGCUCCUUCUGUCCACCCGAGAAGCUUGCUAGGUCACACACGUCCUUAGGCUAUGUGUUAAUGCAGGUUUAGAAGAGUUGUGUGUAUGCGUAGAAAGAUGUGACAAGGGUAAGAGCUGUAGUGAGGAAGCUGCUUACAUCCUAUCCACCCAGAAGCUAAAUCUCGUGUUAGACCGUUUAUAUACACAACAAUAACCACCAUGACCACAAGCCAGCAAAAGGAACACUGUGCUCGCCUUAUAAACAGCCAGAGAUUGAUUUAUGAAAGUCUGUGCACCCCGGGACAUAAGAGGCUUUAAGAGAGGGAGCGCAAGUCCUUCGCAAUCACCCUGGAAGCUCAGCGGAAGUGUUACUGUGACAGACGUUCGUUAAGGUGUGUGUGGAAGGGAAGGAAGCAUUACGGAGAACAAAUUUGAGGAGGAUGUGAGUGUUACGUUACCAGAGAGGAGGAAAGACAGACGCAACACAGAGAUAAGCUUUCCUAGUCCCUCCCUGUGGUUCUGUUUUCCUAUUCUGCGUCUUGAAAGCUUCCCUAUUUCCCUCCUGUAGGUUUGUUUUGUCUUUCUGCGCCUUAGUCUUGAGAUGAAUGGUGAGUUAGAUAGUGUGUGGCAUGGGAGAGGAGGACCUACUAGACAGACGCAACACAGAGAUAAGCUUUCCUAGUCCCUCCCUGUGGUUCUGUUUUCCUAUUCUGCAUCUUGAAAGCUUCCCUAUUCCCUCCUGUAGGUUUGUGUUGCUUCUCUGCCCCUUAGUCUUGAGAUGAAUGGUGAGUUAGUGUGUGGCAUGGGUGAUGAGGAGCUACUCGCCUUCCCUAUUCCCUAUUCCAAUUCUUCUGAGGCAACGCUUAGGCAGGGGAGGCUUGGUAGGGGGUCAGGUAGUUAUUCGGAAGGGGGUGUGAUCCUCUCUCUACCCUGCCAGCCGGUAACGCCACCCUAUGAGAGGUUAGGUUAAGGAACUGGCAGGGUUUGUUUAGUCACCCUACCCGACCCUGUCACCCUACAACAAGCUAGGUUAAGGGGAUUGCCAGGGGUUAAUCUAAUAUACUCUAUCACCCUACCAACUACUUGCUCCUCACUAAAACAGAUUCACAUUAUCUUCUUCCUUUCUCUUGUCUCUCUUCUUCCUAUCUUGCUUUAUUCUUCUCUUCUAGUUUCUCAUAUAUUUUUUUAUAUACAUUCUAUUCUCUACCCUACAAAUGGUUAAGAAGGCUGGAAGGGGGUUAAUCUAGUACCCUGUCACCCUGCCAGCCAGCAUCUUCACCCUACAGGAGGUUAGAUUAUAGACUGACAGGGUUGAUCUAGUGUCCUAUCACCCUGCCAGCUAACAAUUCCACCCUGCAAACUUGAGGGGUCUGUAAGGGGUCAUAUUUAGUCACCCUGUUACCCUGCCAGCCAGCAUCUUCACCCUACAGGAAGUUAGAUUAUAGACUGACAGGGUUGAUCUAGUGUCCUAUCACCCUGGCACCUGACAAUCCCACCCUACAAAUAUUUAAGUUAAGAGGAUUGCCAAGGUGUUCAUCUACCACCCUACCACCUUUCCUACCAUUCACAAAUAAGUCACGGAUUGGGACUGGAAGCGCUUUUAACUAGCACCCUGUCACCCCUGCCGUAAACAUGUCCCUUCCUAAGCCUCCUCUGCCUCAUGUGGCCUCACAACCUAACCAACUACCUCCGUCACAGCCAGGAACAAACAGUCUGGGGGGACAAUGGGGCUGGGGGACAGCUUGGGUACCCUGAGAAUGGCCUUCCGUGGACCAUGAGUGAGGGGACGAAGGGGGACUGAGGGCCUUCAAUGAGUGUUCAAAUGAUGAGGGUUUGUUUUGGUUUAGUAGCGAAAUUGCGGGGGACUUCUGCAUUCACUUCUGUUCAUGUUUUGAGUGGGUACUUUGCGUCUGCCAUUCCCUGCCUUUGGACUAUGAGUGAGGGGGACUAACGGCUUUCUAUGAGUGUUAGAGUGGCGAUAGUUUUAGCUUAUUAAUAGUCGUAGGAGGAACCACAAGCAUAAGGGAUUUUUUCGUUCCUUACUGAUGUUUUCCUGAGUGGGUACCCUGAGCCCUGUCACCUAUGCGGGCUAAAUGAUGAGGUUCGGUAUUAGUUUAGUGACAGUAUAAAGGAAUAACAGCUUUAAGGGGAGGUUCUAUGUUCUUUACUGGUCUUUUGAGUGGGUAGUCUUGCUGUGAACCAUGACUAAGAGGAUCAAACAGCCUUCUACGAAUAUUAAAAUGACAUCAGUUAGUUUUAGUUUAGUGGCGAGAUAAGGGAAUCACAGCUUUAAGGGGAAGUUUUGCAAUCAUUAAGGUCUUUCGAGUAGGUAGUCUUGCUGUGAACCAUGACUAAGGGAAUCAAACAGCCUUCUACGAAUAUUAAAAUGACAUCAGUUAGUUUUAGUUUAGUGGCGACAUGAGGGAAUCACAGCUUUAAGGGGGAGUUUUGCGAUCAUUAAGGUUUUUCGAGUAUGUAGUCUUGCCUUGAACCAUGACUAAGGGAAUCUAACACUCUUCUAUGAGGGUUAAGUGAUGGGGAUAUGUUUUAAUUUAGUAGCAACAUAAGGGAAUCACAGCUUUAAGGGGAAGUUUUGCGAUCAUUAAGGUCUUUCGAGUGGGUAGUCUUGCCUUGAACCAUGACUAAGGGAAUCUAACACUCUUCUAUGAGGGUUAAGUGAUGGGGAUAUGUUUUAAUUUAGUAGCAGCAUAAGGGAAUCACGGCUUUAAGGGGAAGUUACACGGUCAUUAAGGUCUUUCGAGUGGGUAGUCUUGCCUUGAACCAUGACUAAGGGAAUCUAACACUCUUCUAUGAGGGUUAAGUGAUGGGGAUCAGCUUAAGUUUAGUAGCAGCAUAAGGGAAUCACAGUCUUAAGAGGGACUUCAACAUCCAUUAAUAAUCUGAAUCUCUGGCUGGGGGUGGUCAGCGAUCGAGGGGGGAGGGGGGGGAGCACAGUAAGCGUAAUAUCCGCCACCUUUAGGCACAGUUAAGGCUUAGGGGGGAGGGGGCUGCAAAUUGGGGGGGAAGCAGCAACACCACUCGCGACAACACAGACCGAGGGGGACAUGACACGACGCAACACACUCAAUGGGGGAGUGGGGGGGUUAGACUGCUCGUUCAUGCUGUGACUGGCCGAUUCCUGCCCUGUGCCCCGCUUAACACCGGGGCACAGAAAAGGGACAUGAGCGACCCCUCAGACACCUUCCUCAUCCCUCUCACACACCCCACACACAUCCCCGCAGCCCCACCUCACCCCACGCUCCAUUUCACAUGUCAGAGCUGGUGGGAUGCGAUGGGGUGUAUGGGUGUGUGUGUGGGGGUGUGAGGGGUGCCUAUGUCCACCCACGCACCCAUGUGUUAAGAUAGGACAGAGUAAAAUGGAUGAACGAAUGUGUGUGUGUGUGUGUGUGUGUGUGUGUGUGUGUGUGUGUACCCUCUGCCCUGCCGUUCCUGCCGUACCCUCAUGUCUCUCUCAUUCCCCCAGGCCAGGGCAUAGAAGAGGGACCUUAACACAACAGGGGGUCAUGGAAAGGCCUUACCCUAUGCCCUGAACCCUUGGAAAAAUGAGAAAACCGCAUGAGAGAGAGGGAGAUGCAGGGAGGGAGAGCGAGUGAAUGGAUGAAGGGGGUGACAAAAUGUGGUACUAACGAAGAAAUGAAGAGAAUGAAGGAAGGAAGAGAGACUAGGCGGGAGGGUGAAUGUAUGAAGGGUGCGACAAAAUGUGGUACUAUCGAAGAAAUGAAGAGAAUGAAGGAAGGAAGACACUAGGCGGGAGGGUAAAUGUAUGGGAGAGAGCGAGAGGGGAGGGUCGUAGGGCAUCCUCGCAUAUAGAGACAAACAGAAAGACGCAGAAUAAGAGGAGGAGGAGGACGAGGAGGAGGGAUAACAAACAACAAAUAACAACAAGAACAACAAAGUGGCGUUGGAGUGAAGCGACAGCGCGGCACGCCAGAAGGAAGGUGACUCAACGCGCAGUGGUGAGUGAGACACAGAAAGGUGAGUUAAUAGUGUUUUUUAUAUAAAGGGCGUCCCAGAGGCUGCGGACCACCACCAGAAGCGUUUGCGGCCCAUCUCUCUUUGCUAGUUGCUUUGUCUUGCCCAGUCACUGCUCAGAGGCAAACAUUGUGUGUGUCUAGACUGAGGUCACGCUAGGUCACGGUCAGCUCACGCCCGCAGCUCACAGGAUGACCCACGACCUGCUAAGGGAGUGUGUCUCGCCCCACCUGACCUAACCCUACACACACACGCACGCACGCAGGCACGCACACGCAUACACGCACGCACGUACACACACAUGCGUACUGCCAAGAUGCACACGGUAUUAGAGGUAUACGAACACACUGUCAUGCAUUUUUUUUUUUUUUUUUUUUUUGGCGCACACACACACACGCGCACACACUCACACGCAUACACGCACACAUUUCCGCGGGGUGGCAAGGCAUGUCAGCGGUACUCUACAUGAAGGCCAGAACACUGAGUAGUAGUAUAUUACAGAACAGGAAUUAGUAGUGGUAGUAGUAAUGGUAGUAGUGGUAGUAGUAGUAAGUCAAUUUUUUUAGAUUACAGAUUAAUUUUGAGAUCUCGAAAAAAAAAAAGGUGAAGCUGUUAAAAUAAUGACAUGUAAAAACAACCAUAAAAAUCAUCAUCAGACCAGACUAGAAUUAGGUUUACACGGUUGAUUAGGAAGCCGUGGUUGGUAGCGGCAAUGGUUGGCUGUAAUGGUUUGGUUGGGGGGUUAAUUAAACUGCGGAGACAGACCACUUGGCACACACACACACACCCGUCACUACAGCCCCACACACUCCCCCAGGGUCAUGACUCACCCUACCCCAGUGUGUGUGUAUGUGUCCACCAGGCAGCCCCACCCCGCCCCGCCCAGCCCCGGCCGCCCGUCACCACAAGCAGACAGACAAAGGCACACUCCCGCCCCUCACACUGUGCCCAGCCUCACCUGCCUUGGCGAGCGAGGUGAGGCAUGGACAGGCAAGGCCCAGGUGCUGCCACUAACUGAACACUGCACACCUGUGAGGCGGGGCUGGCAGGUGUGGGGGCCGGGGGGGCGGGGCGGGGCGGGGCGGGGAGAGGGGCAGGACAGGCAGAGGGUGAGCAGGGAGGGAGAGACAGAGAGAGAGAGGGAGAGUGUGAGUGAGAGGAUCAAGGGAGGGAGGGAGGGAGGGAGGGUGACAGCAUGCCCCGGUAGCCCCCCCCCACACAGGCCUAGCCCACCCCGUGCCCCGGAUCUAGGGUAAGGCUCCAAGGCCGGGGCAUGGGGCGCGGGGCUGUGUGGGGGCGGGCGCCGGGGCGC